rnacentral:lncRNA from 1 species
UUUGAUCUGCUCCCUGUCUAAUACAGAGAUGCCAAAUCUAUUAUGUCCGAUCUGCUCCCCGUCUAAUACAGAGAUGCCAAAUCUGUCAUCUUAGAUCUGCUUCGAUGUAAACACAUGAAGGUUAGAUCUGCUAUGUCUUCGAUCUGCUCCCCGUCUAAUAUAGAGAUGCCAAAUCAUCUUGGAUCUGCUUCAAUGAAGGUCCAAUCUGUUAUGUCUUCAAUCUGCUCCCCAUCUAAUACAGAGAUGCCAAAUCAUCUUGGAUCUGCUUCAAUGUAAACACAUGAAGGUCAG